AGUGAUAUGAUUGGUUGUGUAUUAAAAAAAAAUUAAUCCAGCCAAUCAUAUCAGUGGAGUGCGCAGAAAAUGUGCAAAAAUGACUGUAUGUAGCAUUACUAAAAAAGUGUUUUCUUCUUUACAGAUUGGUCGGCCAUCACUCCUAAAGAUUUAUUCAUUUCAUUUAAGGGUUGGAAAAGGGAAAUCACCCCCAAAAAUCCAAAACAAUGUGAACAGUACUUUUAUUUCAGUUUGGUGUGCAGUAAUUAAAUAACUUCAAGCUAGAGGGUUUUGGGGAUCCAUCAAUAUAAAUCGUUCUUAACGGUGAUAAUGCUAGGGCACCAAAUUAGAGAGAGAGAGAGAGAUGACGGGUGGAGACUCGGGCAGGGACGAGGAGAGAGAAUAAGAGAGGAGAAAAGAGAUCGGGUUAGAGAAAGGAGAAAUGAGCUUUGCUAAUACUUUCUAUACAUAUUUCUUAAUUUAUUAGAAAAAUACAAUUUAAUGGAAGUUAUAAGUUAUAACUUAAUAAACGUAUAAUAGGAGAGAGAAACGAGUCGCGGUUCUGAAGAUUGCAAGUGGUCAGUGAAGUUGAGUAGACAUCCUUUCCCAACACCCUACAGCGGUCCAAAAUCUUUUAGCCAUACUGUCAUCCUCCCUCUGUUUAACAUCUUGGAAUUUUGAAGUGUGUGUCUCCAGAUCUCUUUAUUCGCUUUCCUUCGUUGGACUCAAACACACCCUCUGCCUCCAGUCUUCCCGUGAACUCCCACUCACUCACCCAUCUGUUCCCAACUCAAAAGUCAAGCAAAUGGUGUUUUGCUUUCCUUCAACACCCAAGAAACUGGCAAUGACCGUGGGAUGUUUUGUCUCCGGUGCUGCUCUUUUUCUCCUAGGUCUGCAUCUCUCUUAUGUCAAAGUCGCUCCUCAACAAGCUCGAAUUCAGGCUCGCAAUGAUUUUGUGAGAGAAAGAUUAAGAAAGAAGUACGGUAAAUGAAGAGUCUGCUCUUAAUGGCUCUGGGCUUAUAUUUAUGGGAAAUACACUCGACAAGUUAUUAUUCUCCAUCCCUGCCCUUUGUGUACUGGCAAGUCAAGACUCAUUUUGAAAUUUCAUUGGCGCAAUGCCGUUAGGGUACCAAGUUUGUAAUGGCUGUCGAAGCAAGGCAAUGAAUUUGGCUCUCACUGGAUUGCAAGCAUAGAUUCAAAAACUCAUUGGAUUAUGGUGUAUUCUCAUCUUAAUGCACGUUAUUUAGUUCAUUCUAUCAACUACAAGAUUGGAAUGCUAAAUUUGAACGAUUUGAGUAUUAUUUCAUCGAUUUUCAAAGCUUGAAUAAAAUAUCGAUUUUCAAGUCC